rnacentral:rRNA from 1 species
GUGCCAGCAGCCGCGGUAAUACUAAAGGUGCAAGCGUUAAUCGGAAUUACUGGGCGUAAAGCGCGCGUAGGUGGUUUGUUAAGCGGAAUGUGAAAGCCCAGGGCUCAACCUUGGAACUGCAUUGCGAACUGACAAACUAGAGUACGGUAGAGGUGAGUGGAAUUUCCUGUGUAGCGGUGAAAUGCGUAGAGAUGGGAAGGAACACCAGUGGCGAAGGCGACUCACUGGACUGAUACUGACACUGAGGUGCGAAAGCGUGGGGAGCGAACAGGAUUAGAUACCCGUGUAGUCCC